rnacentral:rRNA from 2 species
UACGUAGGGGGCAAGCGUUAUCCGGAUUUACUGGGUGUAAAGGGAGCGUAGACGGACGGGCAAGUCUGAAGUGAAAGGCAGGGGCUCAACCCCUGGACUGCUUUGGAAACUGUCCAUCUAGAGUGCCGGAGAGGUAAGCGGAAUUCCUAGUGUAGCGGUGAAAUGCGUAGAUAUUAGGAGGAACACCAGUGGCGAAGGCGGCUUACUGGACGGUAACUGACGUUGAGGCUCGAAAGCGUGGGGAGCAAACAGG